ensembl:lncRNA
UUCGAAAUGUGUUAAAAAGAAUGAGAAUUUGCGAUUAUCAUGUUCACAAAGUGACUAGAUGAUGUGGAGACUGAACAGGUAGUUUUGAGAAUUUCAAUUCUGAUCUGAGAAAUGUAUCAAAGCGACUGAGGAAAAACUGUAAACGCAAGGAUGAAUACACUCUCUCAUGCGGACAGGGUCAGGGGGUUCCUAAGACCCAUAGCAGGAAACCCUUUCAGAGGAUCAAUUAUUUCUGUAGUUCUGCUCUGUAUGUGUGGCACCUCCUAGUCAUUGGCAAAGCAGUUCCUCAGCUACUUCAACUUAACCUCCUUUUCGCUGUGCCCACAGGAAAAUUCUGCCAUUUCUACACCGUUUUUGCUUAUAGCACAUACAUUGGUAACGAUAUACUACUGAUCACUAACUGGAUCGACUUGCAGAUAAUCUGUAUAGAGUUAGUUUCACACAGAGUUUGGUUCACCUGGAAAAAGCAGUAUGUGAAGUCAACCAUGCAUCUGUCGAGUUGCAUUACAGUUUCUGAAGGCCUCCAGCACACAGCCAUUCAGUGGGGCUGAAUUCACUUUCUGUCCUACAGAGAAGGUACAUGCAGUGCAUGGGUACAGCAGCGCGACUGGACUGAACCCUCGCCAGGUGAGAGGAGGGAAGAAGUGCCCAGAGUCUGCGACGGGGUGGCAGGGGCGUGGUGCAGCGGAGUGGCGGCGGCCCAUUCCACGAAAGCAUUCCAGAGCCCUGCGUGGCUGCCCCGGCGAGUCUCAGGGAGUGACUCAGUCGCGCCCCUGGGCUCGGAGGAAUCAUGUGAGAGCCUCAUUCUUGGCAUUCCAUUUAGUUUUGUACCAAUCCACACUCGGGCUGAGUCAUCCAAAGAUCGGGGAGGGGAACACACUCAGUCACACACACACACACACACACACACACAGACACAGACAUGCAUUCACACACACAAACGCACACGCACACACACAAAUGCACCCAGACACACACACACACACACACACACACACACAAACGCGCACACACACAAACGCGCACACACAAAUGCACACACACACACAAACGCACACACACACACAAACGCACACACACACACAAACGCACACAAACGCAUACAAAAUAAAUGGACGCUCCCCACCCUGCGCUCUCUCUGUCUCUGUCUGACUGUUGCUAUUUCUUUGUUUUCUUCAAGGUUACUCCUCUCCCUCCCCCCAUCCAAGGCCUGUUCCCUAGCGCCACCCCUGCUCUCUCUGUGCCCAGUCAAACCGAACCACGCCCAAUGGAGCUCAGAGGCCUGAGCUGCAUACCAAGAGAGCGAGCACAUGGUGGAAGAGGAGAGGCUCACUUCAACAAGC